rnacentral:rRNA from 1 species
ACUCCUACGGGAGGCAGCAGUGAGGAAUAUUGGUCAAUGGACGCAAGUCUGAACCAGCCAUGUCGCGUGCAGGAAGACUGCCCCUAUGGGUUGUAAACUGCUUUUUAUACGGGAAGAAAUAUAGCUACGUGUAGUUAUUUGCCGGUACCGUAUGAAUAAGCAUCGGCUAACUCCGUGCCAGCAGCCGCGGUAAUACGGAGGAUGCGAGCGUUAUCCGGAUUCAUUGGUUUUAAAGGGUGCGUAGGCGGAAGUAUAAGUCAGGGGUGAAAGUUUGUGGCUCAACCAUAAAAUUGCCUUUGAUACUGUAUUUCUUGAGUACAUUUGAGGUAGGCGGAAUGUGUUGUGUAGCGGUGAAAUGCUUAGAUAUAACACAG